rnacentral:lncRNA from 1 species
AUGGAAGAUAAUUAUUAUACUAAUACGUUGUUAAAUGCUAAAAAAUAUGAACAUGUUAAUGAAUUAUUACCAUUAAUUAACAGAAACAAAGAAACUAAGAUUAUGUACAAAAAUUUGUAUGACCUUACUGAUACAUUUGAUUCUAAUAAAUUAAUAAUAAACGAAAAAUCAUUCCUUCAUAAAAAUAAUAAAAAUUUAUUAAAAAUAUAUUUAAAUGGUGAUUAUAUAUAUAAUGUGUAUAAUAAGGUAGUGAGAAAUAUAAAAAGGUAUGAUAACAGUGGUAGUGAUAGUUUUGAUCGAACUAGAUUAAAUAAAGUUAAAAUAUACAACGAAAGUAAUGUUUUAUUUACUUUUUAUACUCUAAGAAAAAUGUAUAAUGGUUGGUUUAAUUAUUUUCGUAAAAAAAAAAAAAUCACGAAACAUAUGAACACAUUAAAAAAGAAAUUUGAAAAAAAAUUGUUAUUAAAAUAUUACGACAAUUGGGUAUAUAAUAAUGAAAAACGUUUAUAUAUUAAAAGUAUACAUGAUAAAUUACUUAUUCGGAAACAGACAAAAAUAAUGCAUUUUUACUACACUUUAUGGUUGAAUAAAUAUAAAAAAAAAAAAAAAAAACAUUUUAUUUAUUUACUUCAUAUAUUUAAAGAAUGGAAAAGUUUUGCAAAAAAGGAAAAAAUUUUAACAAAAGCUAGAAAUAAAAUUGAAAAGAAAAGAAAAAAAAUUAUUUUAACUAUUUGGAAAAAUAGAUUUAACAACAAACUAGAUAAACAAAAAAGAUAUCAACUAGUAACAAAUGUGUAUUAUAAAAAUUUAUUAAUAAAAUGUUAUGUUCAUUUUUCUUUAUUUUGUAAAAAAAGGAGAAAAGAAAAAAAAGCUUAUAAUAACGUAUAUAGCAUUACGAAACAUAAUUUGAAUCGAAAAUAUUUUUUUUUAUUUACAGAUUUGUAUAAGGAAGAAAUUUUUUUUAAAAAAUAUUAUAUUGAGUAUAUAAAAAAAGUAAAGCAUGUUAUUCUGCAAAAAUUUUUUUUUUUUCUAAAAUGUUAUAUAAACAAACGUAAACAACUUAAAUCCAAUUGUUGUUAUUUAGAAAAUAAAAGACGUACGAAUUUGGUCAGUACCAUUUUUAUUAACUGGUUUGUUUUUUAUAUUAAAAAAAGAGAAGUAUAA